UACGGAGGAUGCAAGCGUUAUCCGGAUUUAUUGGGUUUAAAGGGUGCGUAGGCGGAUAUGUAAGUCAGCGGUGAAACUAACAGGCUCAACCUGUGCCGUGCCGUUGAAACUGUGUAUCUGGAAUGCGGAUGCUGUGGGAGGAAUGUGUAGUGUAGCGGUGAAAUGCAUAGAUAUUACACAGAACACCGAUUGCGAAGGCAUCUCACAAAGCCGUUAUUGACGCUGAGGCACGAAAGUGUGGGGAUCAAACA
rnacentral:rRNA from 1 species